UACGAAGGGGGCUAGCGUUGUUCGGAAUUACUGGGCGUAAAGCGCACGUAGGCGGGUCCUUAAGUCAGGGGUGAAAUCCUGGAGCUCAACUCCAGAACUGCCUUUGAUACUGAAGAUCUUGAGUUCGGGAGAGGUGAGUGGAACUGCGAGUGUAGAGGUGAAAUUCGUAGAUAUCCGCAAGAACACCAGUGGCGAAGGCGGCUCACUGGCCCGAUACUGACGCUGAGGCACGAAAGCGUGGGGAGCAAACAGG
rnacentral:rRNA from 1 species